UCUUGUGGCCAUACCAGCUUGUCACAGUCUGAUCUCGUCAGAGCUCAGAAGAUGAGCAGGGCUGGGAAUGGUUAGUACUUGGAUGGGAGAUCAAUGGGUACCACAGUGGGGUGCCAGUG
rnacentral:rRNA from 1 species